rnacentral:sRNA from 2 species
AUUACUUUGGGCUAGGGUUCCGGCUUUCCAAGGGAAGUGACUGGUCCGAGGGCCCGAGGCUUCUCCAUAACGAAGCGCCACGGAGGGAUAAAAGCCCGGGAGAU